GCAGACACAUUCCAGCCAAUCAGCAGCAGACCCUCCCUCCCAGACCCUCCCACCUCCUGGACAGCUCACUAAGAAUGCAGCUUCACAAUGAAUGUAUGGAUGCUGUCCAGGAGGUGGGAGGGUCUGGGAGGGAGGGUCUGCUGCUGAUUGGCUGGAAUGUGUCUG